GGGCUCACACAAGCGGUGGAGCAUGUGGCUUAAUUCGAGGCAACGCGAAGAACCUUAUCCUGGGUUUGACAUGUACGGAUGGCUCGCCUGAAAGGGAUGAGUCUGCCUUCGGGUGAAACGUACACAGGUGCUGCAUGGCUGUCGUCAGCUCGUGUCGUGAGAUGUAGGGUUAAGUCCUUAAACGAGCGCAACCCUUGUCCUUAGUUGCCAGCGGGUCAUGCCGGGGACUCUAGGGAGACCGCCGGUGUUAAACCGGAGGAAGGUGGGGAUGACGUCAAGUCAUCAUGGCCUUUAUGCCCAGGGCUGCACACGUGCUACAAUGGGACGUACAAAGGGAAGCGAACCCGCGAGGGCAAGCAAAUCUCAAAAAGCGUCUCUCAGUUCGGAUUGUCCUCUGCAACUCGAGGGCAUGAAGGCGGAAUC
rnacentral:rRNA from 1 species